AGGACGAACGCUGGCGGCGUGCUUAACACAUGCAAGUCGAACGUGAAGCCCGGGCUUGCCCGGGUGGAAAGUGGCGAACGGGUGCGUAACACGUGGGCAACCUGCCCCUAGCUCUGGGAUAAACCCCCGGGAAAUCGGGACUAAAUACCGGAUAUGAAGUCGGACGGCAUCGUCUGACUUGGAAAGUUUUUCGGCUAGGGAUGGGCCCGCGGCCUAUCAGCUUGUUGGUGGGGUAAUGGCCUACCAAGGCGACGACGGGUAG
rnacentral:rRNA from 1 species